GAUGAACGCUAGCGGCAGGCCUAACACAUGCAAGUCGAGGGAGAAGCCCUUUCGGGGGCAGAAACCGGCGCACGGGUGCGUAACGCGUAUGCAACCUACCUUUCACAGGGGGAUAGCCCGAAGAAAUUUGGAUUAAUACCCCAUAAUAUUGUUGGAUGGCAUCAUUUGGCAAUUAAAACUGCGGUGGUGAAAGAUGGGCAUGCGUCCUAUUAGCUAGUUGGAGUGGUAACGGCACCCCAAGGCUACGAUAGGUAGGGGUCCUGAGAGGGAGAUCCCCCACACUGGUACUGAGACAGGGACCAGACUCCUACGGGAGGCAGCAGUGAGGAAUAUUGGUCAAUGGUCGGAAGACUGAACCAGCCAUGCCGCGUGCAGGAAGAAUGCCUUAUGGGUUGUAAACUGCUUUUAUAUGGGAAGAAUAAGGCGUACGUGUACGUUGAUGACGGUACCAUAUGAAUAAGCAUCGGCUAACUCCGU
rnacentral:rRNA from 1 species